UCCUGAGGCAGGAGGGAGCGUGACCUGACAGGAGGGUGGGAAUAUAUGGGACCACUCCCAACUUAUGUAUCAAAUCUCUACCUAGCAAAGGGAAUGACUAAGAAGAAAUGCAAUAGGACCAUUGCUUGUCCUCCCAUUUAUUAAAGAUGGAAAGCAGCAUUUAUGAGCUCUUUUGAACAAGACUGGGGGCCCUCUUCUAGCUUUGUUUUUUAUUGCUUGGAUCUCUUAGUUUUGUUGUUAUCCUGGUAGGGUGAAAACUUUAUUAUACAAAAUCCUCUCACAGAUAUAUCUCUAUUGACUUACUGGUUUCUUUUUAUGAGUCUGGCUACUUCAGAUUUAAAACGUUCCUAGUAUGCUGUUUUUCCUUGGUCUUUGAGUGAGUUUAUCUCAUAGGACUGCCUGCCAAUAAAUUUCCAACUGGCCUUGAGUGGACUUCAGGCAGA
rnacentral:lncRNA from 1 species